AAAUUGAAGAGUUUGAUCAUGGCUCAGAUUGAACGCUGGCGGCAGGCCUAACACAUGCAAGUCGAACGGUAACAGAAAGCAGCUUGCUGCUUUGCUGACGAGUGGCGGACGGGUGAGUAAUGUCUGGGAAACUGCCUGAUGGAGGGGGAUAACUACUGGAAACGGUAGCUAAUACCGCAUAACGUCGCAAGACCAAAGAGGGGGACCUUAGGGCCUCUUGCCAUCGGAUGUGCCCAGAUGGGAUUAGCUAGUAGGUGGGGUA
rnacentral:rRNA from 1 species